UGUUGGGAAUCUCAGUUAAAAACUCUCCCUGCUCCUUCCCAAGCAGCCCCCAACAGCUCCCACCUUCUUUAUUUUAAAUCAAAUACUGUUCUUGGGGGUCCAGGAUUCAUCCUUUGUGUAUCUGUUCCCAUCCACAGAUGUGGGGAAGGAGCUGCCUUGGAAAUAAACAUCUGGACAUAGACACCCUUCUGUUCCAUCAGCCAGGAGUGCAGGCAAGCACCAGGCCAAGUUCUCCAACCAACACAUUGUCCCACGUCUCUGGAGAGGAGGAGGUGGUGGCUGUAAGUGUUACAGGGAGUCAUGUGGGGAAGGCAGGAGCUCAAAGGCAGCUGCAGAGGAGCAUUGCCUGGAAAGCUGCUCUCAGAGCCUAGAGCAGGUAGGCUGUAUGAAUCCUGGCUGCCAAAACUCAUUCCUUGCCUGGUGACCAUCGGAGGAUUUAAUUUGCCAACAGAUGCCACAAAUACCAAAGCAACCUCCAUCUGCUGCUGUACAGAAUCUGAUCACAGGAAAAACCCAGGAGUCCAUAACUCUGGAGUGGUGAUGCUGGGGUGAAGCAGCUGAAUGAGCAGCCCUCUGUCACAUGCUGGGGAGCUUUGGAAGGGUCCCUCUGAAACUUGUUGGGAUUGAUUUUCCUGCCCGUGCUGCGUUAUUAUUGCCAGACUCCGGACAAGCGCUCCCAGGGAACACAUCUGCCCGGUGGAGUUCAAUCUUUGGAGACUUAAAGCGCUCACUCAAAUGCACCGAACAAGAGGAAUGCUUCAGCUCCAAUCAGCUCCCAUCUUCUUUGGAAAUGCUGGCCUUGAGGUAUCUUUGAGUCUUUGAAAUCAAUCUUUUAUUCAGCCGGGAAUUUCUGAUGGCUUGGAGGUCUGGUCUGUUAAUUCUGUCUAAUGCCCUGUUUAAGUUUGGGGUGUUUCUCUCAGAUGAUUUUCUCCUUUUACUUCACUGAAGGACCAAGAGCAUCCCUCUCUCCCUUCACUACACCCCUGUUCCUUUGUCUCCAAGUGAAAUCAAAAAUGUUUUUUGGACUUAACAAGUAAGUGGGGGGUGGGAUGAUGAAGAAAAUACCCAGAGUGGCACCUAGGUGAGAUCUUGUGGAGUUUUCCAAAGCCAGAUUAAUACAGCUUGAUCUCUAGGAUCAGGAGUGCAGAUGUCACUGCAGGGAUCCCUGUGCUGUCGAAGCUUUUCAUCACUCCUGCAUCACCUGAGGGUUUCUCAUUGGUUUAUCAGUAGCACUACCACAGCUGAGGAAGAGGAGAGGGGGAAAUCAGGGAACGAAGGAGGCAAAGCCCUGAAGUCCUGUACCCACCAGGAUGGGAACAGCGUGCAAUAACUGGGCUGUCCAGUUUUGUCUGCUUUCCUCUGGAUCAUUUGGACCAAGAUUUGGAUCAUAGAAUAACUGUGUAACAUCUUCCAUAGAGGGCUAGCAUGAACCAGAAAUUACAAGACUGGGAGCCGUUUUAUUAAAAAAUUGUGAUUUCUUCUUCCCUGGAGCCUGGGCUGAGAGCUGAACA